rnacentral:lncRNA from 1 species
CUAAGUGUUAAACGAAAACAGUCAUACACAGCUGCUUCUCUCGUCACUCUCUCAUUUUCUUCGUUUUUUUUCUUUUCUUUCAUUUUCUCGAGAAACCUUAACGAAAUUUUCUCAGGAACCAAACAGUUUACAAAUCCUUCGACAAACAGUUUACAAAUCCUUCGAUUCUGAAGGAAAAUGCAGUACCAGAGGUUGAAGCAGCAUCGACAGCAGCAACAAGCACUGGUGCAGCAAGCGAUUCUUCAACAAAAGUCUCUCUACCAUCCCGGCCUCUUAGCCACUCCUCAGGUCCAAUUUAUUGUUUGCAUGUUGUUUGUCGUCGCUCAUGUGAAUCAAUUAUGCCGUGAUUUCGAUUGUGUUUUCAUAAUUUCAAGAUUUGAUUUGUUCACGCUAUUUAGGGUUAGCUUGUUUGUUUUCGCUUAUGUGAAUCCAUUGUAACACCGAACGUUCUUUUUCGACGAUAUUUGUGUUGAAGAACAAAGCAAGGGGUUGUUAGAGGAGCGAGGCAGGGGCGGCUUGACGACGUAGAUCUGCUUCACCGUUUCACUUUCUCGACGCUAUUGCCCUACGAUCCUGUUCUCUGCCACGCAAGGUCAAUUUGUGUCGUUAUGUUUUUAGUAUUUUCGAAAUUUUGAUUUAAACUUUUUGAUUCAAAUGCAGUAGAUCAAAUAAUUUGUGGUUUUACAAGCUUGGCUAGUCUAAUUAAGAAGUUGUAUAUGGAUUUGUUUACAGUUUUGCAGGUCUUAAGGUUCGUUGUAGCUUUAAUUUUAAUAAUCCCUUGAAGAGUUAUGGCUUCAAAGUGUAUUUUGAAGGAACUCAAGGAUCUGCAAAAGGAUCCUCCCACAUCUUGCGCUCUGGUAUAAUUUUUUGUUACUUUUCAAUUUGAACCACAUUUUAGAUUACUUAUAUUUCGUAUCAUUUGGUGAUAGGAUUUACUUGAUCUAUAUUUUGUCAAACAAAUGGGCUAUCUAGAUGGUCAACACCAUCUUUAGUUGGAAAAGAAAACAAAAGAAGAAUGGAGAAUGAGGAGUCGCAAUCUAGAAGCUAUAAAUGUUUGAAGAAGAAAUAAGAGGCACACGGCUUUGACAAAAGAAAGAAGAAAAAAUAAUAAUAUAUAAUUGAUGAAUAGUGCCAAAGCUUUCUCUAUAAAUAGAAACGAAGAGAAUGAGCAAAUUCAAUUCCAUUUUGAGAGGCAUUCAAUUUUGUAGAGAGAGUCGAG